UGGCGGCCGCGGGAAUUCGAUUCAGUGAGGAAUAUUGGUCAAUGGGCGCAAGCCUGAACCAGCCAUCCCGCGUGCAGGAUGAAGGCCCUAUGGGUCGUAAACUGCUUUUAUACACCAAGAAAAAACACCACGUGUGGUGGACUGACGGUC
rnacentral:rRNA from 1 species